AGUUAUUGAUUGGCGCUGAGGGGAGAGUGCGGGGAUCCGGUCUGGCUCCGUUACAGCUGCACCCAGCCCCUGCCCGGCCUGCUUCCAGCCUUGGGCCCUCAGGCCCUGCUCUGGCUCCUGCCUCCAGCCUGUUCCCAGCCCCUGCCUGGGCACCUACCCUAGUCUUUGUCUUGGGGCAGCCAAAGGAGCACAUUUUAACAUGUGCUCAGUUAAAAACACUUCCUGACAUACGCUUUCAUUUAGAGCAGUCAUCAGGAGCAGUUCCAGCCGAGGAGAUACAAGCAGAAGUUGCUGGACAUGAGCCCGGACCCCAGCCUCAGCCCCAGACAAGGAAACGGAAGCUCUGAGAGGUAUAGUGUCUUGACCGCUGUCACACAGGUGGUGUUGAGUGGAUUUGAACCCAACUCUGUUGGACCCCAAAGUCUCCGUGCUCCAUCGCUAUGAUACACUGCCAGUCUCCCCAUGAAACCAGGGAGAGGUUCUUGGAUGUGCCCGUAUCACAGAGUGUGAGUCUGACCAGGGAUAUGGAAGGACCCGUGAAUGCCACCUGGGUCUAAGGGAGGACCCUGGUCCUCAGCAAGAAACUCUUGCUCUUUGCUGGAGAAAGAAAAGAGGAAUGUUUGCCAGUGGUCUUCCUUCCCUGUGAGCUGUCUUGGUUUGGAGCCAGAAAAAGCUAACAGAGAAGAGCAAGAGAAUUA
rnacentral:lncRNA from 1 species